UACGUAGGGUGCAAGCGUUAAUCGGAAUUACUGGGCGUAAAGCGUGCGCAGGCGGCUUUGCAAGACAGAUGUGAAAUCCCCGGGCUCAACCUGGGAACCGCAUUUGUGACUGCAUGGCUGGAGUGCGGCAGAGGGGGAUGGAAUUCCGCGUGUAGCAGUGAAAUGCGUAGAUAUGCGGAGGAACACCGAUGGCGAAGGCAAUCCCCUGGGCCUGCACUGACGCUCAUGCACGAAAGCGUGGGGCGCAAACAGG
rnacentral:rRNA from 1 species